rnacentral:rRNA from 1 species
AAACUUGAGAGUUUGAUCAUGGCUCAGAACGUACGCUGGCGGCACGCCUAACACAUGCAAGUCGAACGAAGUAGCAAUACUUAGUGGCAGACGGGUGAGUAACAUGUAGGUAUCUGCCCUUUGGCCUGGAAUAACACGAGGAAACUUGUGCUAAUACCGGAUAAGUCUUUACAGAGAAAGCUUUAUGCACCAUUGGAUGAGCCUGCACUUGAUUAGUUUGUUGGUGGGGUAAUGGCCUACCAAGACUGUGAUCAAUAGCUGAUUUGAGAGGAUGAUCAGCCACAUUGGGACUGAGACACGGCCCAAACUCCUACGGGAGGCAGCAGUGGGGAAUCUUGCACAAUGGAGGAAACUCUGAUGCAGCGAUGCCGCGUGAGUGAAGAAGGCCCUUGGGUUGUAAAGCUCUUUCGUCGGGGAAGAAAAUGACUGUACCCGAAUAAGAAGGUCCGGCUAACUUCGUGCCAGCAGCCGCGGUAAUACGAAGGGACCUAGCGUAGUUCGGAAUUACUGGGCUUAAAGAGUUCGUAGGUGGUUGAAAAAGUUAGUGGUGAAAUCCCAGAGCUUAACUCUGGAACUGCCAUUAAAACUUUUCAGCUAGAGUAUGAUAGAGGAAAGCAGAAUUUCUAGUGUAGAGGUGAAAUUCGUAGAUAUUAGAAAGAAUACCAAUUGCGAAGGCAGCUUUCUGGAUCAUUACUGACACUGAGGAACGAAAGCAUGGGUAGCGAAGAGGAUUAGAUACCCUCGUAGUCCAUGCCGUAAACGAUGUGUGUUAGACGUUGGAAAUUUAUUUUCAGUGUCGCAGGGAAACCGAUAAACACACCGCCUGGGGAGUACGACCGCAAGGUUAAAACUCAAAUGAAUUGACGGGGACCCGCACAAGUAGUGGAGCAUGUGGUUUAAUUCGAAGAUACGCGCAGAACCUUACCAACACUUGACAUGUUCGUCGCGACUCUAAGAGAUUAGAGUUUUCGGUUCGGCCGGACGAAACACAGGUGCUGCAUGGCUGUCGUCAGCUCGUGUCGUGAGAUGUUGGGUUAAGUCCCGCAACGAGCGCAACCCUCACUUUUAGUUGCCAUCAUUAAGUUGGGCACUCUGAAAGAACUGCCAGUGAUAAGCUGGAGGAAGGUGGGGAUGACGUCAAGUCCUCAUGGCCCUUACGUGUUGGGCUACACACGUGCUACAAUGGUAUCUACAACAGGAAGCAAGACUGCGAAGUUAAGCAAAUCCCUAAAAGAUACCUCAGUUCGGAUUGCACUCUGCAACUCGAGUGCAUGAAGCUGGAAUUACUAGUAAUCGUGGAUCAGCGUGCCACGGUGAAUGCGUUCCCGGGUCUUGUACACACCGCCCGUCACACCAUGGGAGUUGGUUCUACCUUAAGGCAAGGUUUCAAACCCUUGACCACGGUAUAGUCAGCGACUGGGGUGAAGUCGUAACAAGGUAGCCGUAGGGGAACCUGCGGCUGGAUUACCUCCUUU